AGGAUUAUAGUUUAUUUAUAAAACAUUUAAAUUGCAAUUAAAAAAUAUUUACUAAAUUAAUCUUA
rnacentral:tRNA from 1 species